AGAUCAUAAAAGGGGAGGAGGAAUCUCCGCAGCAGAAGCUACAUUUCUCUUAGUCAAGUCUGCAUUGAAGGGCUUGCUUCCCUUUCCACUUCCCCAGGAAUCUUACAGUCCUGCUUAGAUACAACUUAAUUUACACUGAUCUGACCUAAGAAACAUAGUGUGGAGCAUUGACGAAUUAAUUAUACAUUUUGUAAUAACUGUAUUGUUACUGAACAAUGUCUUCAAUCUUAAAAGCAUUUGGGAGAGAAGACAAAGACAAGAAGGAUGAAAAGAACAAAGGAAAAGAACAUAAAGACCAUAAAGAUGGAGACAAAAAGGACAAGAAAAAGAAAAAAGAGAAAAAGGAGAAAAAGCAUGACGGCCAAGAUGAUGACAGCUCCAGCAGC